AAGAAAAAGUAAAAAAAAAAACAUAUAAGUCCGUGUUGUCAGUCUGAUAAGGGCGGCGGAUUUUGUUUUCUUGUCAGCACCCUCGUUCCUCCGAGGGAGUGCGAGCGUCCAUCCCUUUCUCCAAGGUUCCAAACCGCAGCCUGGCUCGGAGCUCGGCCGGCACCUCCCGAUUCUCGCCUUUACGCCUACCGGUCAAGGUACCUGGAGUUGUUUGGAUAGUUCGACCUUGCUGCUUUUCUAGUUUCUCCUGCAAAUACUUUGUUGCUUUGCCAAGGAAAAAACUUGAAAAUUUCUUACCAACGCUUGGAACCUAAUAAUGGGAACCUCAAGUUGUUGGAUCAGAAGCUUGAGUAUUUGAAUUACAAGCAAAGGGAAGGGGAGAUAGAGAAGAGUAGAGUGGCUAUGGAACUUGACAAACAUAUGUAUGCAUGCGUGUAUGUGUACGUGCGCAUGCGUGUGUGUGCGGGUGUGCGCCUCUGUGUGUGUAUAUGUGUGUAGAAUGGCUAUGGAACAGUGGCUAUAAAACUUGACAAACAUAUGUAUGUAUGUAUGUAUGUGUAUGUAUGGAACUUGACAAAGAUAUAUAUGCUGUGUGUAUGUGGUUAUGUCUGUAAGUGUGUAUGUCUGUUUACAUGUCUAUUUGUGUGUAUGUAUGUAUAUAUGUGUGUUGUGUAUUUCUGGCUAACAAAUUUAACUGUACAGAAUUACAAUAAUGCUAAAUGAUAUUUAUGUUGAUAACUGUGUGAAGGAAUUUAUCUUUUGCAUCCUCUUAGGAUGUGCCAAAAAUUCUCACAACCUUUGUUAGUUUAUAGUUAGUUCGGCAGAAUACAGAAUAUGCUUCUAUUAAAAGAAAAAGAACAAGGAGAAUCUAGUGGUGGAUUAAUGGCAUAACAUGACAAGUUGCUUAUUAUUAGGGCAAUUGAGGCUCAUCACAAUUGAUGAAUUCAACUCAUGACAGUGAAUGCAAAAAUAUAAAUGAAUUCUCAUGCAUACCAACCUUAGUUGGUUUUAUGAUAAACAGUAUCACCUAUUGAAGCUGAUCGUAUAUAAUUAGGCAUUCGUAUACCUUAUUAAAAUAGUUCCUGUGUAUGGUUGCAACGAACCUGAAAACAUGGAACAAAGUUAUGUAUAAUGGGACUCUUCUUUUAACUGCUGUGUUGCUGACGAUUAUUCAAUUUUGACUAGAUAAUUGUAUGAUGAACUUCUAUUUUCGUUUAAUGACA